CAUAUCAUGUUCAACUUGCUCAA
rnacentral:siRNA from 1 species